CUCAGGCACUCAGUUAAUGAUGCAGCAGUACAGGGAAGACUAUCACAUGUGAGCUGGAAGGCUGCCAACAUGGAGACAUGGAGAGAGCAAGCAGGAGCCCAGGGCGGCUUAGCUUUCUUUGCUUGGAAAGACCACUGCAAAAGAUGGCAACAGGGUUUGUAUUCUAUAACUGUAAAACUACCAUGGAACCAUAUGAGGCUUAAAUCCACAGAUAGCUGCUUUCCCCAAGAAUCAAAGCUGCAAGAGCUUCCUGGACCCACCAUUUGAGGAGCACUACAGAACGUCAGAGGAUGCUUCAAUAAAACCUGCCUGCUGUGCCUUCACAUGUCUUAUGAGCACAAACUGUUCCCAAAAUUGAACCGUGCCCACAUAUUUCUUUAUUUUUAACUAGAAUGCAACCUGUAAUGUAGAAAUUAUAGGGUAACAGGCACUACAGUGUUUCCUUGAGCUGUAAUAUGGGAGAAUGCCAGCAACAGUACUGUUGAACAAUAUUUACAAAGAGAAGUUUAAGCAGACGUGCAUUGCCCAUCACUCACGAGGAUUAUUUCCAGCAUCCAAGGGCAGGCAUGUUCACACUGGAAAUAUACAUCAGUUUAGAACUACAACUGGAAGUGCCCCUAUGACUGUAAGAUUCACACUUGACCGGCAGUAGUUUGGUAUUAAAUUACUGCUUAAAGAUCCAGAAAUAGUUUAUUACUGUUUCCUUUGAGAAGCCUCAAAAUAUAGACAAUGGAGACAGUUGUAGAGUACUGUAUAGCUGCUUUUGUCCUACUGAGCAGAAAAAGUUGGGUAAGGAGGCAUUUUAAAAGGCAGUCUGCUCCACACACCCUUAAGAGAAUAAGGUCUACUUUUCUUCCCAGCAUGGGGGGCAAAGCCAAGAGAAACAGCAGUAAUCUAAUGCCUUACGGAAGUACUUUACUGCUGGAUUUAAAUGAGGAAAAUAAACUACUGCUGUUUUAAAAAGAA